GACGAACGCUGGCGGCGUGCUUAACACAUGCAAGUCGAACGGAAAGGCCCUGCUUUUGUGGGGUGCUCGAGUGGCGAACGGGUGAGUAACACGUGAGUAACCUGCCCUUGACUUUGGGAUAACUUCAGGAAACUGGGGCUAAUACCGGAUAGGAGCUCCUGCUGCAUGGUGGGGGUUGGAAAGUUUCGGCGGUUGGGGUUGGACUCGCGGCUUAUCAGCUUGUUGGUGGGGUAGUGGCUUACCAAGGCUUUGACGGGUAGCCGGCCUGAGAGGGUGGCCGGCGACAUUGGGACUGAGAUACGGCCCAGACUCCUACGGGAGGCAGCAGGGGGGAAUAUUGCACAAUGGGCGGAAGCCUGAUGCAGCAGCGCCGCGUGCGGGAUGACGGCCUUCGGGUUGUAAACCGCUUUCGCCUGUGACGAAGCGUGAGUGACGGUAAUGGGUAAAGAAGCACCGGCUAACUACGUG
rnacentral:rRNA from 1 species